rnacentral:rRNA from 1 species
UACGUAGGUGGCAAGCGUUGUCCGGAAUUACUGGGCGUAAAGGGCGUGUAGGCGGCUUUUUUAAGCCAGACGUGAAAUCCCUAGGCUUAACCUAGGAACUGCGUUUGAAACUGGAUGGCUUGAGGACCGGAGAGGGCAGUGGAAUUCCCAGUGUAGCGGUGAAAUGCGUAGAUAUUGGGAGGAACACCAGUGGCGAAGGCGACUGCCUGGACGGCACCUGACGCUGAGGCGCGAAAGCUAGGGGGAGCAAACGGG